rnacentral:tmRNA from 1 species
GGGGAUGUUCUGGUUUCGACGGAUGGUGCGAGCGACAGGUCGCGUGUCGAGCCUCUUGGUGAGCUCGUUAAUCACCGCCUUGAACAUAUAACUGCAAACGAUUAUUCGUAUGCGAUGGCCGCUUAAUCAGCUAUAACCUGAUUUAAGCCCUGCCAUCUGUCGCUGCUCGGGGUUGUCCGGCACCCUGUUCAGCGGCAUGGCUUAAGACGGACUAGCCCGAGGUUGUGCUGUUCGAACGACUGAAGGCGAAACACUGAUCGAACUUUGCUGCGUUGGUGCCCGGUCGGUUGGCUUUCCGGCGCGGCGAGAUCUAAUAGACCGACUACACACGUAGACGCCUGAUUCGGGCGUCCAUUCGGACCCGGGUUCGACUCCCGGCAUCUCCACUU